rnacentral:rRNA from 1 species
UACGGGGGGAGCAAGCGUUGUUCGGAUUUACUGGGCGUAAAGGGCGCGUAGGCGGUCAGCACAAGUCAGUUGUGAAAUCUCCGGGCUUAACCCGGAAAGGUCAACUGAUACUGUGCGACUAGAGUGCGGAAGGGGCAACUGGAAUUCUCGGUGUAGCGGUGAAAUGCGUAGAUAUCGAGAGGAACACCUGCGGCGAAGGCGGCUCACUGGUCCGGUACUGACGCUGAGGUGCGAAAGCAUGGGGAGCGAACAGG